UCUAAAGACUCAAAGUAUAGCUCUGAAAAGCUAGUUGUUGGAGAAAACAGCAGGAUUUUAGUAGCUGGAUAUGAUUAUAUCAACAAUGAAGUGUGCAUGGAUUAUUCUUUAGUUAUUGGCUUGAUAAUACUUUGGCUGCUGAUUCAAGUUUUCUUCAUAAUCGGUUGUAUAGUACUUGUGAAGAGAUACAAAAGAUAUUAUCAACAUGAGUGCACACGACAGUCUUUAGAAGAACUCCAUAAAAAUUUUGGAAUAGGCUUCAGCAACUUGGAGAACCGGAGAGUACAUUGGGCUGACAGUGACAAUAUUUUAUGACAUGAAUGUGAUUCAAAAAUGUAAAUGAAACCAAAGAUUUGUUGUUAAUAUAUGGCUAUACACCCGUUCA